CCCCAGUCCCCACUGGUUUCUCUCCAGCACAGUAUCUGACUCCAAAGACGUUACCCCUUUCUCGUUCAUUGCUUCUCUUACUGACACCCUAAACGCAACUGAGUCCAUCAUUGAAGGCCAAAUUGUUCUCAGAAGCGAUUUCGCGUUAGGCUUCUUCCGCAUUGCCAUUUCCUGUUACAGUUACAGGUAGGAUUUGGUACUACAAAAUUUCUGAGACCACAAUGUUCUGGGUCGUUAACAGAGACGACCCACUUAGUGAUUCCUUUGGAGCUGUCUCCCUUGCUUUGGGUAGGAAGAAAUCUUGUCGUCUCUUCUCGUAGCGAUCAGAGGCAUCCUCUCUUUGCACUUCGCAGGUGAGACCAUGAGAGUAGUGAGACUCGGUGGAGAGAAACAAAAUUAGAUCUGGGAGGCAUUGUAGUUGCAGAGAGAGAGGGAGAGAGAAAUGAGUAGUGUGUCAAAAUUCGUGAAGAAGAGCUCUCAUGGAUCAGAAGGAUUCGAUUUAAAUGGUGAGCGUAAGAAGAAACUGAGUUCUCGGAAUCCAUUGAAGGACCUAAACAACAUCAACAGGAGCAGGAAAAGGAGCAGCAGCAGCAAUUCUUCUCUGUCGAUUGAGGCUCCAAGAGGUUGGUCAAACUCCGUCCUUUCAAACUCUUCUUCCAAAACACCUCUGCGAGGACCAAAAAAUCUACCCCAAACCCCUAAAUCAGCCCCAAAUCCUGGCCCUUCACAAUGCAGAUCCAAACCCCCAACUAAACAACUCCCCAAUGGCGGGGCCAUUUCAGGAAAUCUAGAGAAACCCAAGAGAACCUCAUCUCUCUAUCAGUGGGAAAAUGGUAAAAAGCAUAGUUUCAGAGCAAAUCGACUACCAAAACCCUCAUCAGAUGUGGAGGGCUGUGGCUUCUGUGCCAAUGAAUUGGUUUCUGGGGUAUUUUUGAAGGAAGAGCCUUUGAAAGGAAAAGAGCCAGUUGAUACAGCUGAGUCUUCUAGCCCAAGAUUGUUGAGUGAUGAAGUAGAUUUAAAGGAGGUAGGAACUCCUGUGAAAAAGUUGGCACCAGGGUUUGUUUUGGGUUCUACAUCUGAUAAGGCUAUAGAAGAGAAAACAACAACAACCAACACGACACCCCCUGUUCAGGCUUCAAUAUCUCCAGAGAUCCAAUGUGAGUCAUCAGUGGUUUCUUCACCUACUUGUUUUGGAGCUGGUCAUCUUCUUUCUGGGGUGACUGACAAGAGGAAAUGCAGGCCAAGAGGGGUCCUCACUGUAGGAGAUAAUGCAGUGUUUUGUAAAGCUGGGGCUUUUGAUGGCAUUGAUCGUAGUAAUGAUGUGAGGCAUCUCAAUGCUUCUAGGGUUUCUUUGGUUCCUGUACCCACUGAAGCUUCAGUGCAAUGGCUCUUGCUCCCCUGUGAUGAGGAGAGAGAGGAUCACUGGGGCAGUUCUAGAAAAGGCUCACCUGAAUCUGGGAAGCUGCCGGGUUUUUCUGCAAUCCAUUCCCCUUCUUCAUCUUCGGCUCGUCAUGGGUUUUCUUCGAAUGUUUGUAGCAUCAGUAGUAGUGCAAGUACUGCUACAAAUACAACUAUCUAUGGUGGAGGGAAGAGGAGACCUUCUUUGGUUUCUCCAAUUGAGUUUCCGAAAUAUGGAAAGUUUGUUGGACCUAUGUCAACAGUCUCCCAGAAAAGACAUUCUUCUGAUCAUGCAAUUGGUUGUUCUUCAUCAUGUACGCCUGUGCCUUCUACUACAGCUAAUCUCAAGGAUGAUUUUCCACCAGAAGAGAGAGAAUACCGGUAUGAUAUUAGAAGAGAGAAUUCUCCAUUCUCCUGGGACUCUUUGGGUAGUGGAAAUGUGAUGUGUACACCACAGUCAGAUUCAAGCUCAGAUAUACAGUUUGGAUCGUCUUGCUUGGAUGGGGACAAUCAUCAACAGCAUCAACUUGAACUUAAUUCGAUGGUGGAUAUUUUGCGCGACACACAUUUGUCUCCCCGAAGCCAGAUAUCAAUGUGGGGUGUUGCUGAUGUUCCACCACUGCCUGCUUUGAGUGCCCACUUCUCACACCCAGUUACACCUUUAAAUUCUGUUGACUGUGCCCAAAUUCAGAAGCCUUUGAAUGAUUUGGGUGUGGACUUUUCAUGUUCGAGCUUUGAGAAUGUCUCUCAGUCACAGAUGAGGAUAUCAUGGAGAGAUGGAUUAGUCAGUCAUGUCUUCGAGAUGGAAAAAUCAGAUUACUGCUGCCGGCUCCCGUAUGAAGAAGAAGAAGCAGAAGCACUCACUUGUUGUGGUAAUGGUCAGCUAAAAUCUGAUCUUCAUCAUGGAGUUAGUCAGACAGCUAAAGAUGAUCUAACAUUAAAUGAUUACUUUAAGCCUCUUGAAUUUGCAUAUGAGGAACCUGCUAUUGAUGGGGAAGACAAAGUAAAGAUCCCUCCUCAGAGAUCCAAUGUGUGUGCAGAGUCCAUAAGCAUAGAGGGAGGUGGAUUGGUUACAUCAAAUGACUCGGAUUGGUCAUUGUGUUUCAAAAACCAGUUAUUUCAGGUUCACCAGUGACAAGCAAUAGUAAUGAGAAAGUUUAUCUUCCUCUCGGUUGAAACUUAUCAUUGAUGGGAAAAAAAAAAAUGGACACUUCAAAGAUGUUGAAAUCAUCAAUUUGUUCUCUUAUUCAGCCACAAGAUAUGACCUACAGUUGGAAGCUUGGCAGGCAGGGUAUAAGUAAGAUUGGAUGAGUAAGGGCCGGUUUAAUUUUGUUUCCAGAAUGUGUUUUUCCGAAUAUGAUAGCACACUCUCCAACAUCCAAAUUGUGAGUUUCAUAAAGUCUCUCAGCUUAUUGAUCAUGACAAUCGUGUUUGGAAAUGAGAUCUCCUUAUUUCCCUUUUCAACCCUAAUGAAAUAACUGAGAUUUUGAAAAUCCAGCUUCCUUUGUUCUUGCAAGAAGAUUUUCAAACUUGGGGCGCUUCUCGAAAUGGGAUUUUUUCGGUAAAAUCAGCUUACCACCUAUUGUUCAAUCUAGAAGCUGACAAAGAUGUGUUUGAAGCGUCAUCUUCCUCUCCAAACCUUGGCAACAAGUUCCAGAACGAGUUUGGAAGCAAAUUUGGAAUUGCAACUCUCUCCCAAGAAUAAAAUCUUUUCUUUGGAGAACUUGUGCUAAGGGCCUUGCUUCUUUGGUAAAUCUCCGGUAAAGAGAUAUCUCAGUUGAUCCCCAUUGUGCACGAUGUGGCAAUAUCCAAGAAUCUACUUCCCAUAUUCUUUUGGCUUAUUCCUUUUGCACUUCCAGUGGGGCUUCGUAGUAGUUUGUCUCACAAAGCUCCGGAAGGUGAUGAGGUUCUCCUUCAUGAUUGGAUUAAUGGUUGGAAAGUGUUUUCCACAAGAGGUAAGAAUGUUAGCAAAGAGAUGAUAUCCCUAUGUUCGUUUAUCUGUUGGCAAUUAUGGUUAGCUCGAAAUGACUUUCUAUUUGGAAAGCGAUAUGGUCACCUUUGGAGAU